rnacentral:rRNA from 1 species
ACGGGUGAGUAACGCGUGGGAAUCUACCGUACCCUACGGAAUAGCUCUGGGAAACUGGAAGUAAUACCGUAUACGCCCUAACGGGGAAAGAUUUAUCGGGGUAUGAUGAGCCCGCGUUGGAUUAGCUAGUUGGUGGGGUAAAGGCCUACCAAGGCGACGAUCCAUAGCUGAUCUGAGAGGAUGAUCAGCCACAUUGGGACUGAGACACGGCCCAAACUCCUACGGGAGGCAGCAGUGGGGAAUAUUGGACAAUGGGGGCAACCCUGAUCCAGCCAUGCCGCGUGAGUGAUGAAGGUCUUAGGAUUGUAAAGCUCUUUCAACGGUGAAGAUAAUGACGGUAACCGUAGAAGAAGCCCCGGCUAACUUCGUGCCAGCAGCCGCGGUAAUACGAAGGGGGCUAGCGUUGUUCGGAAUUACUGGGCGUAAAGCGCACGUAGGCGGGUAUUUAAGUCAGGGGUGAAAUCCCGCAGCUCAACUGCGGAACUGCCUUUGAUACUGGGUAUCUUGAGUAUGGAAGAGGUAAGUGGAAUUGCGAGUGUAGAGGUGAAAUUCGUAGA